rnacentral:rRNA from 1 species
AUUGAACGCUGGCGGCAUGCCUUACACAUGCAAGUCGAACGGUAACGGGUCCUUCGGGAUGCCGACGAGUGGCGAACGGGUGAGUAAUAUAUCGGAACGUGCCCAGUAGUGGGGGAUAACUGCUCGAAAGAGCAGCUAAUACCGCAUACGACCUGAGGGUGAAAGGGGGGGAUCGCAAGACCUCUCGCUAUUGGAGCGGCCGAUAUCAGAUUAGCUAGUUGGUGGGGUAAAGGCCUACCAAGGCAACGAUCUGUAGUUGGUCUGAGAGGACGACCGGCCACACUGGGACUGAGACACGGCCCAGGCUCCUACGGGAGGCAGCAGUGGGGAAUUUUGGACAAUGGGCGCAAGCCUGAUCCAGCAAUGCCGCGUGCAGGAAGAAGGCCUUCGGGUUGUAAACUGCUUUUGUCAGGGAAGAAAUCUUCUGGGCUAAUACCCCGGGAGGAUGACGGUACCUGAAGAAUAAGCACCGGCUAACUACGUGCCAGCCGCCGCAGUAAUAC